rnacentral:rRNA from 1 species
AGCAGCCGCGGUAAUUCCAGCUCCAAUAGCGUAUAUUAAAGUUGUUGCAGUUAAAAAGCUCGUAGUUGAAUUUCAGGCCUGGCUGGACGGUCCGCCCUUCGGGUGAGUACUGUCUGUGGUCGGGUCCUACCUUCUGGCGAAGCGUCAUGGCCUUAACCGGCCGUGGCGGGGAACCAGGACUUUUACUGUGAAAAAAUUAGAGUGUUCAAAGCAGGCAAAUCGCUUGGAUACAUUAGCAUGGAAUAAUGGAAUAGGACGAUGGUUCUAUUUGUUGGUUUCUAGGACCGUUGUAAUGAUUAAUAGGGAUAGUUGGGGGCAUUAGUAUUCAAUUGUCAGAGGUGAAAUUCUUGGAUUUAUUGAAGACUAACUACUGCGAAAGCAUCUGCCAAGGAUGUUUUCAUUAAUCAAGAACGAAAGUUAGGGGGAUCGAAGACGAUCAGAUACCGUCGUAGUCUUAACCAUAAACUAUGCCGACUAGGAAUCGGACGAUGUUAAUUUUAUAAUGACUCGUUCGGC